rnacentral:hammerhead_ribozyme from 1 species
CUCAGCUGACGAGUCCCAAACAGGACGAAGUGCACAUCCUAGAU